CUAAUUCACCAGAAUGUUCGGCUAACUACUGAAGGUCGAGUAAUUUGCAAUUACAGCAAAGAAAAAAGUGCAAUAAAGAUAUUUUUAGACAAAAAAAAAAAGAAAAAAAAAGAAAAGUAAUUAUAUUUGUAUACGUGGUCCUGCAUGUGGGGCGUAUAUUUUAGGUAUUUAAGCAAGCAUCCAGAAUUCUCUUCGCCAUAAACCAACCUACACUAUUCACGGUAAGACAAUGUUUAAUAUUUUUUUUUAAUCGGGAAUUGUUUAACAAAUAUUGAAAUUUGUUUAAACAAUGUUUUUUAAAAAUAAGAUAUAAUAAAUAAAUGUAACUUUUUGAAUCAAAUAUUCAUUUUCUGAAUUGCUACAAGAAUAAAGCUUCAAACUGCAAUAGGGAAAUCCCUACUUUUUGGCUUGGACUAUGUUUCCACUGGUUAUGAGUAGUUGAUAAUCAAAGGUACAUGAGAACGUCAGAACAUUCCAGUGGAUUUCGCCGCAAUAUUUUUUUUCUUUUAAAUUGGAUGCAUUAUCCAUAAAAGAAAUAGAUUCGAGGAAUAAGAAAAUAAUCAAUAAAGUAAAAUCAAAAUACUGUGUAACAGAUUAAAGAUGCAAUAUUGAUUUUCAACAAACAAGGUUAAGACGGUCUAAAUAUCAACACUUUUUAGUCCAGUGAACAAACUCUAUUUCAAAUGUUUUUUUAGGAAGAAUUGUAAUGCAUUACGUAUUCUAUAGAAAUUGUAAACAUUUUUUGAACCAAGUAUCCUUGUUUUUUAAUACAAUAAAUUGUAAAUUUGGAAGGGAAAUUUUUUCUGUUGAUUAUUCGUAAAUUAAACAUUAAAACCUUUCAUUUCAAAAACUAUAAAAAAAAAUAAUAAGGAUUGCUGUUUCAAGUAUAGGUUAUAGAAUUAUAAAGAAACAAGAAUGUGUCCCAAGUACACGGAUGCCCCACUCGCACUAUCAGUUUCUGUGUUCAGUGGACCGUGAAAUUGGGGUAAAAUUCUAAUUUGGCAUUAAAAUUAGAAAGAUGAUAUCAUAAGGAACAUGUGUUCUAAGUUUCAAGGUGAUUGGACAUCAACUUCAUUAAAAACUACCUUGACCAAAAACUUUAACCUAAAGCGGGAAGAACGAAUGGACGGACGAACAGACGAACGGACGGACGAACGAACGAACGACCAGAAAAAACAUAAUGCCCCUCUACCAUCGUAGGUGGGGCAUAAACAAUAAGGGUUGUUGAAACCCUCACAUACAACUAUUUCUAUUAUUUUGUAGAUGAUGAAAAGGAAUAUAAUGCUGGCUCUCCUCAUUACAGUUUUCGUACUGAACGGAAUUGGUAAUGCUUAUUUUUAUUUUUAUUUGUAUUCGUUUUUCUCGACUCCACUGAUUUCUUUUUUCCUAAAUAACAAUUUUUAAACAUAAUUCCUUGUGCUCUUUAAAUUGAUAAGUAGUGGUUGCGUCUGAAAAUAUUAAUUUUGCACGAAAGAGCUGACAUUUUACUAUCUUAAACCUUAGACAAUUAAAGAUUUUCUCAAAAUGUCCUAUACUUUGAAACCUGUUAACAGCUUUACAUUAAAGUUAUCAAAAACUGCAACUGACCUAAAUCGAAAUCCAAUAUUUCAAUGCUUCUGAAGAGCAAAAAAAAGACACAAUUUAUUUACGGCAAAAAAUAUUGCUAAUUGUAGUAACCACAACACUCAGAGAGACACCUAAAUCAGCAGUAACUCGGCAAUCUGGUAAAUGUGACAAGAAAGGUAAGAGUAAUUGUUAUUAAUGGUCUUUUGAUGAGCUUUAAAAAUCUACUUUACUUUAUUGACCGUUAUAUCAUUAUAAGAAUUUAGUGUUUUAUAAAUCAUUAGCAUGUGAAUACACAUGCAUACAUCUCCACUCAUCAUAAUGAUACAUAUACCAGCAAAAACAUCAAAGUAGUAUGUUAUGUCAAUCUGUAUAUAUAAAAACGAAGAUGUGGUAUGAUUGCCAAUAAGACAAUUCUCCACAAGACACAGACAUAAACAACUAUAAGUCACCGUACGGCCUUCAACAAUGAGCUAAGCCCAUACUGCAUAGUCACGUAUAAAAGGCCCCGAAAUGGCAAUGUAAAACAUAAAACAUUUCAAACGAGAAAAGCUAACGGCACUAUUUAUGUACAAAAAAUGAACGAAAAACAAAUAUGUAAUACAUAAACAAACGACCACCACUGAAUUACAGGCUCCUGACUUGGGAUAGCCACAUACAUACAGAAUGUGGCGGAGUUAAACAUGUUGGCGGGAUCUCAACCCUCCUCUAACCUGGAACAGCGGUAUAACAGUACAACAUAAGAACGAACUAUAAAAGGUUUAACUCAUCAGAUGGACAAAAAUACUACCUUCUUGCAACAAAUCGCAAAAUACAAUUGAAUAAAUUGUUGUCAUACUUAUAGGUCUUCCUAAUUUGAAAGUGCAUUUCGGCAUCCUUAAUCAAGUUUCUAUUUUCUGGAAUCUAUAUUUGAAUUGAAGUUACACGUUGGAAGCAUUGACACAGUUCGUCUUUUAACUAUAGUCAACAAAUAUUUUAUCGUAUCAUCUUUGUUUGGCCAAGUGCUAGUUAAUGUAAUAAUAUAAUUAUUCUAAUAAGACAUGAACACAGCAUCACAUACCCAACGAAAACCAGAUGUCAACAUCAAUAAACGAUUUUGUAAAAUCUGUCUAAAAAUAACCAAGCAUAUACACAGUGUACUAAUCGUAAAUAGUUUAUUAAAUUAUUACUAUUUGUACCUAUGUUCCUAUUAAUUUAAAAACACCAUUUUUAAAAAAAAUAACAUAAUAUUAUUUAAUGCUUGUGGAUGAAUUCAUUUUUAGGUCCAACGCCAUGUGCACAUGGAGCAUUCUAUGAAGAUACAUGUGACAAGACUAAAUAUUAUCACUGUGUAUGGAAGAAACCUGUGAAAAUGCCAUGUCCGGCGGGUCUUGUAUGGAAACAAGCAAUAACAACAUGCGACUGGCCAUAAAAGUUAUUCUAAUACUUGACUCUGGAAUAUUAGACUGAAAACCUUUAAUUAAGUACAAACUGUAACUAAAGCAUGAGUAACUUUUGUACUGAAUAAUAAAAAUAUUUCAAAAUUUUUCUUUUUUCUAUAGUCUGCUCUCGCG
rnacentral:lncRNA from 1 species